GGUUCAAUGGUCUAGUGGUUAUGAUUUGUGUCUCACAUCUGUGCACACACAAGGUCUCCAGUUCGAUCCUGGGUUGAACCA
rnacentral:tRNA from 1 species